UUUUCUUCUUGGCAAAGACUGUCGAACACUUUCCAACUUAAGCAACGCGCAUUUCCGAAGCUAAAAUCUCCGAGUCAACCUCUCUAAUCAUUUCUAAAAUUUUGUAGAAAAUAUAUUUUCCUUUUAAUAGUAAUAUCGUUUUAAGCUUAGAAACGACUCCAUCCUCUCUCAAAAUCUUCAUCUGCCACUUUUUUUCGGCUGCCGUUUUGAUCCGGCGAACUCCACCAUAGUCAUUCGUGACCAUCCGAGGGUGGAAUGGCUACUACCAUGGCUUAAGUUAUUAUGUACCCUUGAUCUUAGUUCCACUUUUGUUUCAAUUGAUGAAUGUAGAAUCUUGCUUCUUCUCAUGGGAGCUGUUGGUUUAGCAAGAUGGAUGUCAUCUGUUGCAAACCAGUGUAAGGAGGGUGAAGGACCAAACGAUGAAGAGGAUAUGAAACUUUGCAUAAUGGGAGUUGGUGAUAACCAUCAACCAUGACACAAUUGAUGAGGAUAUUAUUUAUGAGCACAAUGAAGUUUCAAGUUUUUAUUUAAAUAUUUGUUAGGUUUUUGUUUUAUAUGUUAAAUAUUUA